rnacentral:rRNA from 1 species
AAUGAACGUUGGCGGCAUGGAUUAGGCAUGCAAGUCGAGCGAGAAGUGUAGCAAUACACGGAAAGCGGCGGAAGGGAGAGUAAUACGUGGGAAUCUGCCCUUAGACCUGGGAUAGCAGCGGGAAACUGCUGGUAAUACCAGAUAAUGUCUAUGGACCAAAGGUGUGAUUCCGUCUAGGGAUGAGCCCACGUCCUAUUAGCUAGUUGGUAGGGUAAUGGCCUACCAAGGCGAUGAUGGGUAGCGGGUGUGAGAGCAUGACCCGCCUCACUGGGACUGAGACACCGCCCAGACACCUACGGGUGGCUGCAGUCGAGAAUCUUCGGCAAUGGGCGCAAGCCUGACCGAGCGAUGCCGCGUGCGGGAUGAAGGCCUUCGGGUUGUAAACCGCUGUCGAGGGGGAGCAACUUCCAUAGAGUUAUCUUUAUGGAUUGAGUGAUCCUAGGAGGAAGGAGAGGCUAAGCUCGUGCCAGCCGCCGCCGUAACAC